rnacentral:rRNA from 1 species
GAUGAACGCUGGCGGCGUGCCUAACACAUGCAAGUCGAGCGAUGAGGCCCCUUCGGGGGUACAUCAGCGGCGAGCGGGUGAGUAACACGUAGGUGACCUGCCCCGAAGAGGGGGAUAACCAUUGGAAACGAUGGCUAAUACCCCAUAUGGUCGGCGAUUCGGUUCGCCGAUGAAAGUUUCGGCGCUUCGGGAUGGGCCUGCGGCCUAUCAGCUAGUUGGUAGGGUAAUGGCCUACCAAGGCUUACGGGUAGCUGGUCUGAGAGGACGAUCAGCCACAUGGGCACUGAGACACGGGCCCGACUCCUACGGGAGGCAGCAGUGAGGGAUCUUGCGCAAUGGGCGAAAGCCUGACGCAGCAACGCCGCGUGGGGGAAGAAGGCCUUCGGGUUGUGAACCCCCUUUCUGAGGGAAGAGGAAGGACGGUACCUCAGGAAUAAGCCCCGGCUAACUACGUGCCAGCAGCCGCGGUAAAACGUAGGGGGCGAGCGUUAUCCGGAUUCACUGGGCGUAAAGCGCGCGCAGGGCGGCCUGGCAAGUCGGACGUGAAAGCUCCAGGCUCAACUUGGAGAGGCCAUUCGACACUGCCGGGCUUGAGGGCGGGAGAGGGAGGUGGAAUUCCCGGUGUAGUGGUGAAAUGCGUAGAUAUCGGGAGGAACACCAGUGGCGAAGGCGGCCUCCUGGCCCGCUCCUGACGCUGAGGCGCGAAAGCUAGGGGAGCGAACGGGAUUAGAUACCCCGGUAGUCCUAGCCGUAAACGAUGGAUACUAGAUGUUGGCUGUAUUACCCAGUCAGUGUCGAAGCUAACGCGAUAAGUAUCCCGCCUGGGGACUACGAGCGCAAGCUUAAAACUCAAAGGAAUUGACGC